rnacentral:rRNA from 1 species
UACGAAGGGGGCUAGCGUUGUUCGGAUUCACUGGGCGUAAAGGGUGCGUAGGCGGGUUUUUAAGUCAGGGGUGAAAUCCCGAGGCUCAACCUCGGAACUGCCUUUGAUACUGGAAAUCUUGAGUCUGGGAGAGGUGAGUGGAACUGCGAGUGUAGAGGUGAAAUUCGUAGAUAUUCGCAAGAACACCAGUGGCGAAGGCGGCUCACUGGCCCGGUACUGACGCUGAGGUGCGAAAGCGUGGGGAGCAAACAGG